rnacentral:tRNA from 1 species
AAAAAGAUAAGCUAAAUAAAGCUUUUAGGUCCAUACCCUAAAUAUAGAUUAAAUUCUUCUUUUUA